AGGGGGAGGCGCACGCCGUGCUUGUGUGCUCUGCUCAGACCUUUCACCUAGAUGCUCAAAAGUGCCACAGCCUAGCCUUGGUUUCCGAGGGGUGCAUCCGAUUCUCUGCUUUCCCUGGUGCAGCGCACACACAAACUGCACGUUAUUUGCAGUCCAGGAACGUGAGUGAAGCUGGCCUCGCCCGACGACUGCGCAAUGCUUGGCGAAGGGGCGUUACCGGUGAAGCCAUCCGCCGCCAAAAAGCAUACAGUAUGGUGAUUCUAUCCCAGCCUUCUCCAGCCUGAUGCCCAUCGAAUGAGUUGAGACUACAGCUCCUUUCCUGACCGUUGGCCAUCCUGAGGGGGACUGACUGGAGCUGAAAUCCAAAAAAUGUGGAAGGCAGCAGCUGGUGUUGUUGAAGGCUUUGAUCUCAUGAAUUCCUGUGGGCAGCUCUCGGCUGAGCCGCUCUACCCUUCACAUGGCCCCUCACUGAAAGAACUCAAAACCCUUCGAAAGCGACAGAGAGGUGGAAGGCAGGGCAGGGAAAAAAAUAGCCUACUCCGUCAAAGCAGCUGUGUCUUCCCCCUGAAGAAUACUGGAAGCAAAGAAGAUGACUUGAUUCCCCAAGGAUCAUACAACUGAAAGCUAUUAUUUCCUAUUUCCUAUCAAUAGAAGACAUUGUAUAAAAGUAAAGUUUGGCAUCUCGGGAGUGCCAUGCCUGAGAUAAACAGCC